rnacentral:rRNA from 1 species
GACGAACGCUGGCGGCGUGCCUAAUACAUGCAAGUCGAACGCACAGUUUAUACCGUAGCUUGCUACACCAUAAACUGUGAGUUGCGAACGGGUGAGUAACGCGUAGGUAACCUGCCUGGUAGCGGGGGAUAACUAUUGGAAACGAUAGCUAAUACCGCAUAAUAUUGAUUAUUGCAUGAUAAUUGAUUGAAAGAUGCUAUUGCAUCACUACCAGAUGGACCUGCGUUGUAUUAGCUAGUAGGUGAGGUAACGGCUCACCUAGGCGACGAUACAUAGCCGACCUGAGAGGGUGAUCGGCCACACUGGGACUGAGACACGGCCCAGACUCCUACGGGAGGCAGCAGUAGGGAAUCUUCGGCAAUGGACGAAAGUCUGACCGAGCAACGCCGCGUGAGUGAAGAAGGUUUUCGGAUCAUAAAGCUCUGUUGUAAGAGAAGAACGGGUGUGAGAGUGGAAAGUUCACACUGUGACGGUAUCUUACCAGAAAGAGACGGCUAACUACGUG